rnacentral:rRNA from 1 species
CUAGGAUGCUGGCGUAAUGGUCGUAAUCCGCCCGUCUUGAAACACGGACCAAGGAGUCU